rnacentral:rRNA from 1 species
GAUCCUGGCUCAGAUUGAACGCUGGCGGCAGGCUUAACACAUGCAAGUCGAACGGUAACAUAAAGAAGCUUGCUUCUUUGAUGACGAGUGGCGGACGGGUGAGUAAUGCUUGGGAAUCUAGCUUAUGGAGGGGGAUAACUACGGGAAACUGUAGCUAAUACCGCGUAAUAUCGAAAGAUUAAAGUGUGGGACCUUCGGGCCACAUGCCAUAGGAUGAGCCCAAGUGGGGAUUAGGGUAGUUGGUGAGGUAAAAGG